GGCUAUUUUUGAUAAAAACUCAUUUCAGACUUUCAAUCUCCAUUUUUAGCGAAAUGUUUAACUCACCCUCAUCCUCUCCCCUCUCUCUCGCGAUACUUGUCGUUUCUUUUCUUUCUCAGAAACGAUAGGUUUUUCUCACAAUUCUUCAUCGAUUUCUUAUCUGUCAUCCAUCUCUGCCGCCAUCUCCUCUGCCCUCCAUCUCUGCCGCCAUCCCUGUCUCUGAGCUCAAUCGAAAAUCCAACCGCAAUUUUCGAUACCUUGCUGCUGCUCCCUCUCGCUCUUGAUCUUUCUUUCUCUCUGGAUCUCUCUUGCGCUCUGGGCUUUCUCUUGCUAGCGCGCCCAAAACCUCAUUGUGAUAGGUUGGUGCUUGAGAGUUGUUCAUUCUUGAAAUCGAUUAGGGGCAUGGGGGCAUAGAAGGAGGACUUUGCUCUAAUUCUGGGUUUUUUUUUUUUCCUCUUUUAUAUUUUUCCUUUCGAAUUUUUCUAUGAAGACCCUGUUCUUCAUUUGCUUUGAAUAAUCCUUGAUGGUUCUGUUUCUGCUUCUGUUUAUGAGAUGACGCAUUAUGUAGUGGUCUUUUUAUAAGGAAAAAGGAGCAAGUGUUCCGUGGCAUUUGGGAGGAAGAGGACGGAAGUGACAACAUCCGAAAACAAUAAUAACAAAAGCAAGGUUUAUUAGCAUCAGAUGAUUACAGGGAAGAUGUUAGCCUCUUAGCAUUGGCAAGAGUUCGAAUCCGUAGAGUCAUUCAAAUAUCAGUGGGGUUCAUAUUUUCUUCUCUGUAUUUGAAUCUCUGGACUUCUAGGAGGGCUUAUUCAUAUCAAUGGUUCCUAAAUGUUUUGCCUACUUAUGAUAGAUGUUCAUGGAUGUUCCACUCCAACUUUGUGAGGCUAGAGACUCCAAAGGCCUAUAUAAGCUUGCACAUGCAGGGAAGGUCAAAGCUGGGAUUGGAAAAGCCAUAUCCAAGCGGAGAAAUGCACCACGCCCUCACCAUUUUCAACAAAAGCAAAGAGCCAUGGCGAGGGGUACCCUGGUGGAUUAUGUGACGAUGAGUUUGUUAGUAGUGGUAAAAUGGAAGAGAUGCAAAGGUAAAGCUUAAGUUUUAUUUGGUAAUUAUGAAGGUAUAACUCUGUAUACAUAUGGAGAACUUGACUUGAUGGAUAAUUAGGUGUAUAAAUUUGGUUUAUUAUUGUAAUUAGGCUUGCAGCUUUCAGCUAACGGCCUUAGAGUAUUUUCAUUUUCUAGAUUUUAUUUUGUAAUUAGUCCUAUUGUAUGUGCUUCUAAAUAUGAGGAAGCAAUUGAUACUAUUGUACUUUUGAGGAUCCUGAGCCUCUGCAUUUAGCUUCUGUGCAUUUACCCGCAUUUCGGUAAAUUUAAACCAUUCAACCAAUCUAGCGACUCGACAUGUCAUUAAACUUUUAAAACAUAUAUUUUUUAUUUUAUUUUAAUUUCCAAAACUGAUGUUAACCCUACCUUAACAGCAUUAACGUUAGACUAAACUAACGCGAGCAUACUUUUUUUUCUCUCAAUUGCGAGCGUCCUUGUUCCUGGUUUUCUUCUCGUGAGCGAGCGAGCGUAUUUUUUUUCUUCAACUUGUCUUCAUGGGUUGUGAGUUCUUGCGUCUGUGCUGAUUGUGUUCCAAAAAGAUUGAGGGACGUACUGAAGCACUCGCAAAUUGUUUGGUAGAUACUCAACUUCUCCAGAAAGGCAUGCGUUACAGAUUAUGAUAAUUUUAAGAUUUUUCAUCACGGAGAA